UACGGAGGGUGCGAGCGUUGUUCGGAAUUAUUGGGCGUAAAGCGCACGUAGGCGGCUGGGUAAGUCUCACUGUGAAAGCCCGGGGCUCAACCCCGGGAGGCCAGGGGAUACUGCUCGGCUAGAGACAGGCAGAGGCUGGUGGAAUUCCGGGUGUAGCGGUGGAAUGCGUAGAGAUCCGGAGGAACACCUGAGGCGAAGGCGGCCAGCUGGGCCUGAUCUGACGCUGAGGUGCGAAAGCGUGGGGAGCGAACAGG
rnacentral:rRNA from 1 species